ACGCUUAGGCGUGUGACUGCGUACCUUUUGUAUAAUGGGUCAGCGACUUAUAUUCUGUAGCAAGGUUAACCGAAUAGGGGAGCCGAAGGGAAACCGAGUCUUAACUGGGCGUUAAGUUGCAGGGUAUAGACCCGAAACCCGGUGAUCUAGCCAUGGGCAGGUUGAAGGUUGGGUAACACUAACUGGAGGACCGAACCGACUAAUGUUGAAAAAUUAGCGGAUGACUUGUGGCUGGGGGUGAAAGGCCAAUCAAACCGGGAGAUAGCUGGUUCUCCCCGAAAGCUAUUUAGGUAGCGCCUCGUGAAUUCAUCUCCGGGGGUAGAGCACUGUUUCGGCAAGGGGGUCAUCCCGACUUACCAACCCGAUGCAAACUGCGAAUACCGGAGAAUGUUAUCACGGGAGACACACGGCGGGUGCUAACGUCCGUCGUGAAGAGGGAAACAACCCAGACCGCCAGCUAAGGUCCCAAAGUCAUGGUUAAGUGGGAAACGAUGUGGGAAGGCCCAGACAGCCAGGAUGUUGGCUUAGAAGCAGCCAUCAUUUAAAGAAAGCGUAAUAGCUCACUGGUCGAGUCGGCCUGCGCGGAAGAUGUAACGGGGCUAAACCAUGCACCGAAGCUGCGGCAGCGA
rnacentral:rRNA from 1 species